GACGUCAUAGAGGCCGAGCUGUUCUGUGAUCACUGGGGGUCCCGAUGCUGCCUGUCCUGUGUGAUGAUGAGGAUGAAACAAGCUCAAAAGGCCAAGGAAACGAAAUCCCACGGGAAAGAUCAAAAGACGAAUAAGACGAAUAAACCAUAACAGUGAAAGGAACGUGUAGACUUUUACAACGGACAGGGCAUGUGCUUAUGAUUUGUGUCUUGUAGAGGAUUUAACUUGUAGUCCAGUAUACUGUAUAUCAUUGUUUCAAUAUUUAUCAUAGCUUAAAGUGAUUUUUUUAAAUGUUCAUUCUUAAUAAAAUUGUACGAAAAUGACUGAAAAC
rnacentral:misc_RNA from 1 species